rnacentral:lncRNA from 1 species
GUGGCUCUACUUUAUCACAACCUUAUUUCUUCUACUCAAUUCUGCUUCCUGCCUUUCUCUCAUUGGUUGUAAUAUCUUUCUAGCUGCUUAAUCAUUUUCGAGUCUUACUAAUAUAUGAUCCACGCUUCGAUGUGAGGUAAACUUAUUUGAUAUUCGAUUUAUCACUAUUUUUUUUUAUUUUUAUUAUAUUCAUAUCUUGCGAUGAGUUUAAAGUGCUAUUGGAUUAAUUAAUAAAAUUCCAAUUAAUUAAAAAAAGAAGUACUAUUGGAUUAAAUAUACAGUAUGUAUGUGCAUCUUAUGAUAAUCAGAUUUUUUGUUGAUAAAGUAAUAAUCAAAAUUUAUAUAUAUAUAUAUAUAUAGGGGAGGGAUCCAUAGAGAAUAGCUAGAAAAUUAAGAAUAGAGAAUAACUCCUUACCGUUAGAUCUUGCAAAACUAGCGGCCAUGAUUCAUUUAGAAUAUUCAUUAAAAAUCAUGUUUAAUUAAUAUAAAUCAUUUUUAUAUUCAAAUAAGGGUUUUUCGGUCAAUUAAACCACACCCAAAAUCUGGAGAUUAUACUCUCUUCCGAAAAUAAAGCAACCCAUUUCUUCCAUUAUUCGAUAGUUUUUUAGGGGUUUUCGAAGAAUCACAAAUUCCGUUGCAGAAAGACGACUUACAGAGCAAAAGAAUUUUGAAGAAGCCGACGGUGAGUUCAUUCAGUUUUUACAAAGAUUCAAACUGUUGUUUUCUUUUAUUCAGUUUUUUUACAAAGAUUCGACUGUGGGUAAAAAACCAAUUCUACAAAUAUUACUGAAUUUUUUUGUCUUUUUCAGAGUAAACCACUAGAAUUUGCUUUCACUAUUUCAUUUAACUAAAUGUUUCGAAUAUUUUAAUGAAAUUACUCUGUAUUCAUUGUUUUGUUUUUUUGAUUGGGUUUAAAUUAAGAAGUUCCAUACUGAUUUAUGAAAAUUGGUGCUUCACAGAUCGUUGAUUACAAAAUGACGAAAGACAAAGGGAAAUAAAAAUGUCUACCAGGUAUCCACUUAAAUAUAUCGUUCUUAGAUAACAAUAUUAUUGCACUUGUGUUCAAAAAUUAAUAUAUAAUGAAGACUUUUUCCCAGUGCGCACACGCCUACUCAGAAGAAAGGGAAAAAUGUGGAGCAAUCGAACAACAAUACUGAUGACGGUAACGAAAAUUUACAUUCGUUUAUUUAAAUAUUCAUAUUCAAAAAUUUGCUUUAGUUAUUCGAAAUAAAAUGUGAUCGAAAAUGUAUGUAAUUUACGUUCAUUUAUUUGUAUAUUCAUAUUCAAAAAUUUAAUUUAGUUAUUCGAAAUAAUAUGUGCUGGAAAACAUGUGUUUAAUAAUUUGUGUGUCCAAAUUCUAAAUAUUUACUUGUUUAUUCAAAUUAAUGUUUGAUCAAAAAUUAAUAAUGGAUGCUAUAAAUUAUGUUGCUUCUGCAUCAAUGUAUGUAACUAAAAUCAUUAGAAUAUUGUACUUACCAAACACUGAUAAUUAUUAAAAUUUAGUAUAUUUCAUUUCUCAUGCUAUGCAUAUAUUACAACUAAUUCUUAAAAUGAAGGUCAGUUCGAAAUUUGUUGGUUGCUCUAUAUGAAAAUUAAUUCGAAAAUUACUUGUUGCUGUCGUUUUCAUAGUGAUUUCAUUCAAAAUAUGAUGCAGGUAAUUGCAUUUUAUAAUUUCUAUUGAUUUUUCAUCCCUAAGAAUGUAUAUGACAAUUUUUUAGACAUAUUGAAAACUAGAGUCAGGGGAUUUUUUAGGACAAUAACUUAUGUUGAUUUGGAAAUUAGGACAAAAACUUUUGGAUUUGUAAAAAUAGGACACUAAUUUUUUUUGAGUAAAAAUAGGACACUAAUUAAUAAGUGUCGUAAAAAUAGGACAUAUCUCGGCCAAUAAUUGGCCGAAAAAUGUCCUGCGGAUGCAACACUUAUUAAUUAGUGUCCUAUUUUACUCUUAAAAAAAAUUAAUGUCCUAAUUUUACAAGUCCGAAAGUUAUUGUCCUAAUUUCCAAAUCAAUCUAAGUUACUGUCCUAAAAAACCCUCGAACUCUUGAAAACUAGGAUUUGGUGUACUGUGCUCGAAUAUUUAUGGUUUCAUGGUGGGCAAAUGCUUUCAUGGUUUUGUAUUGUGUUAGACUAUUUAAUCGAAUCUAUUUGACAUUAACUUUUGUGGAGGUGAUUAAGGAAUCCUGGGAGAAGCAGACAUCACUGAGGUCACCAAGCAAGAAUUGGAUUUCCUCUUGGAUGAAGAGUUUACGAGAGAGAAAAAAAAUAUGGCUCAAUAGAAUUAAGAUGAAAUGUUGGAUUUGUAUGUCAUUUAUGUUUGUUCAGAAAAAUUAUAUUGUUAUUCGACAUCUUAUAGUGACAUAUUCAUUUAAUAUGAAUAGUGGAUUGCUUUAAAUUGU